rnacentral:misc_RNA from 1 species
GCCAAUUUCAAACUACUGUGAACAAAACUAUAAAUCAAAUUUGGGGGGCCAAUGAGAUAAAAAUAAUUUGUCAAUCACCCACGUCUAUGAAAAUUUGAAGGGCUUUGGGGCCCUGCUACAUUAGAUCCCAAGCAUGAUAUGACCAGCUAAAUUUAUCAUCCUUAAUAGUCUUGACUAAUUUGCAGAUGCAUCUCAAUCUCUCCAUCUAUGCCCACAAUUAGGGUUGCAGCAUACAAAGAACAGCGUCAUACCUUCCNNNNNNNNNNGUUGCCUGGAAGAAGACAGCUUCUUGAUGGUUGCACAUGCUGCACUUAACGGAUUUAGUGCGAGGAAGUGUUGGAUCUGCAGCUACAUCCUGCAGUACCUGAGUCCGCUCUGCUACAGAGUGAUGUACCUCAUUUCUGUAUACACAGUUAUUUUCAGCAAUUUCCUGAUGAUCGCAAUUGCGGCAAGCAUAGAGGAGGAUCUUCUGUUCCUUAUCCUCCUUAGGGUAGAGAAUGUUGUUGCACUCGCGACAAAAUUUCAUGGUACUCAUCUUGAAAAGCCUUCGAUAGUGAAUAGAAACGAAUGAAGAAUCGGAAAAUAGGGUUUUCUUGGCGGGUGAGGGUUUUUGCAGUGACUGCUAGAGAGCCU